rnacentral:rRNA from 1 species
AUACGGAGGAUGCGAGCGUUGUCCGGAUUUAUUGGGUUUAAAGGGAGCGUAGGUGGGAUAUUAAGUCAGCUGUGAAAGUUUGGGGCUCAACCUUAAAAUUGCAGUUGAUACUGGUUUCCUUGAGUACGGUACAGGUGGGCGGAAUUCGUGGUGUAGCGGUGAAAUGCUUAGAUAUCACGAAGAACUCCGAUCGCGAAGGCAGCUCACCGGGCCGGAACUGACACUGAUGCUCGAAAGUGCGGGUAUCAAACAGGAUUAGAUACCCUGGUAGUCCGCACAGUAAACGAUGAAUACUCGCUGUUUGCGAUACAUGGUAAGCGGCCAAGCGAAAGCGUUAAGUAUUCCACCUGGGGAGUACGCCGGCAACGGUGAAACUCAAAGGAAUUGACGGGG